AUUGAAACACCUGUUUCCAUACAAUCAAAGAAGUGAAGCAAUGUCGAGCCUGGUCAGUAUCUAAAUGGGCGACUGCAUGUGAAUACCAGGUGCUGUAA